GGUGAAAAUUUUGACUUUCUGAGCGGCCACGAAAAUAAUUUCAUGAAAAUUUGAUUUUUUUGGGUAAGAACCUUGGGAUUUAAUUGAAAUUGCAAACACUUUUCCCCUCAUCUCUUGCUCUUUGUAAACUUUCUCCCUUCAACAGCCGUCUCUCUCACUAAAUCUUUGUCACCCUCCCUCUCGGCCUCUCACCCUCUCGCCCACUUGCACUCUCUCUUCCUCCUUCAACAACCCUCUAUCUUCUUCCUCUAACAACCCUCUCUCUCUGAGCUUAUUGGAAGUCGUAAGACGGUGACGACUGCACCCCAUUUGAUUCUCCCACUUCAUACUUCAGCCGCCACUACUCCAGUAGAAAUGGACCCCAGGCUGGUUAAUCUGGUUGAUCCGGUUGGUCCCUGGGUCUCCCAAGUGCCGGCAUCAUUAGCCUCUUUAGUGGCGAUACUUGUUGUGGUCACCGCCACCCUCGUAUGCGCAACACGACAUCAACAUCCACUACUGAUGCCUCGGGGUCACAACAAGGUCCAAAUCUGGCCUAUUCAACUAUGUGAUUAGGGUUGGGCACGGGCCGGGCUGGGUAGAGGGAUUUGAGUUUGGGAACCGGAUCUAAUCUGGUCCGUUUCAAACAAUCCAAUUCAAUGAGGGUCCAUUGGUCCAAUUACCUUUUUUUUUUUUUUCAUUUUUGGGCAUACUGCACUGCCGGUGUCUUUUUUUUUUUUUUUUUUCCUUUCUCCUCUUCAUAUCAUCUUCACACCCACCGCUCCAAACCCUCCUAAAUCCAACAGCGCGCCGCCUCUUUCCACAAACUUCCCCUCUCUCUCCUCUCAGCCAUGGCUUCCUCUGCCUUGCUCCACUCCUCGUACGGUUCUGGCGUCUGGUCCAAGAAGGAAUGGGUCAUCCCCGAGGUGGUGGAGAAUUCGAAAUCGAAUUUGCAAAUUGGUGAGUCUGCAGGUCCACAAUGUAAAGCUGCACUUCAAGAAACUACUCGUAUCAUUGAACAAAGUCUUACAACUAAUGGAAAAGCAAUAAGGGCAUUGUUUGGUGCAGGCCAGCUUGAUAUUGAUGGUGACUUCAUGUAUUUUCUGGCGGAUGUUGCUGUUAUAGCGCAAAGAAAAAUACUCGGGGAUCUUGUCGCUAGUUGAAGAUUGUGAAGGUCACCCAAGUGACCAAUGGAUGUAUCACGAUCAAAUACAAUGACUGCAUUGGGCUGCACCAACGUCGAAGCAGCAUAGCGCAUUAGCCCAUGACAUUGGUCACGUCGUUUGGACCUAUUGCCUUAUGCGAUAGAAGUAUUGGAAGGCAAUGCCAGAUGAGGUGAGGACGAAGUACAAGCAGUGGAAGAGAGAUGUACACCAAUAUUUUUAGACAUUUGAUGAUCCGCAGGUCGCUCUUGAGGAAGGUUGCUUGAAGGAGUUUGAGGAUCAGGAAAAAAUUAGGUGUGGCUCUGCAGUCAUUUUUAGGAGUCCAACUAUGUGAGGAAGGCGAAAGCCAACAAGAUCAAUCGGGAGAAGAAGACUCUUCUCCACCAUUCGGGUUCGAGGCCCUUCUCAUAUAGGAUUGAGGCGCGGCGAGAGGGGUUCAAAAUUCCCAAAGAUUGAUGUCUUUGUAGACGUUUAUGUUCGACAUAGGGAUGAGUUGGCCAAGUCAUUUCAUGUAAGUAUUCUUCAAUUGUAAUUACUAUCUUACGCAUUCAAGUAUCAUAGUUAUUAUUUGAAUGUUAUUAUUAAUAUUUCAUGUUAUAUUACACAUGCGCUGAUGAUGGAGAAGAGAUAGUUGGUUCUUUAGGAGUCCGCCUCCCACCUUCCUCCUCAGACUCCGCUUGAGUUUGUGGAUCCCCUCGAGGAUGCGAGGUUUUAGACCUUUACAGACACCUUGGAUCAAACUCUCAGGCGAAGGUUGAGGACAUAUUGUAAAGGGAUAAGGAAUGCUCGGUGGCGGGAACCUUAAGCCUUUUCAUCCUCCCAGUCGAAGGGUGAGGUGAUAGCUUUGACAGUAGGGGUGGCCGACCUUAGGAC